AUGCCGUGGUGUGCGCAUGCUGCAAUGUACUCCUAAAAACGCUCCCAGGCUUCCGGGACUGUUUCGUCCUGGAGUUGUUGAAAACUGGAAAUCCUGUUCCAAAGGGC